rnacentral:siRNA from 1 species
UUACAAAGUGCUACGGUUUGUC